CAGGAUUUGGCAACAAACUGGAUGUGAGGCUCAAAGGUGAGGCCAGAGUCAAGUACUAUGCCAAGACAGCGUGCUUGCAAGGAUGGACUUAUGUGGAUACCACUGACUUGAAGGGAGAGCGAGAGAGGAGGAUCAGUAUUAGGAGGAGGAAAGACAAGGAGUUCAGUUUUAGAGAGGUUAAGUUUCAGAAAGCGUGAGGACAUCCAGUCAGAGAUGAAAGAAAGGCAGGCAGUGACACGUUGCAGGACGGCAGGGGAGAGAUCCAGGGAGGAGAGAUAUAUUUGGGUGUCAUCAGCGUUCAGGUGGUAGUGGAAUCCAAAAGAGGCAAUAAGUUUGCCAAAGAGGCAGUAUAAAGCGAAAAUAGAAGGGGACCUUAGACAGAGCCUUGGGGAACUCCAACCAAGACAGGACUAGGGGAGGAGGUAUCCUUGGAAAAGGAGACACUGAAUGAGCGUUGGGAGAGAUAAGAGUAUGAGGGGGGGGAGUGCUAGUGGAGAGAAAGUGGGGUAGCCAGGAAGAAAAGUGUUCAAUGAAUAGUCUAGGAUGACCGGGGGGCAAUAGAUGAUGGCAAUUCUUCAAGGAUUGGGCUUAAAAAGGCGGACAGUGUGAACUUCAUAGGAAUUAAAGUAAAGGGCAGGGGCAGGGAGGAUAGGUUGAAAGGUACAUUGAGGGGAGAGAAGGAUGCCUAAUAAUAGUUGAGUCUGGGAGUGUGGGAGAAUUGUAGUCCACCGAAACAUAAAGAAGCGGGAGUAGCGGUAUAAGAGGUGGACGCCCAGGUCUCAGUGAGUGCCAGUAUUGUGAGUGAGCUAGAGAUGACAAGGUCGUGUAUAGCUGUUGAUUUAAUAUUACUACAGAUUGAAUGGGCGUUCCAGAGUUACACUUAUUGUAUAGUUAAUGAUGAUUUUUAUCAAUUUUUAAUCCAGAAUCGGUUUAUGAGAACAAUUCACAUGCGGAAACUGGAAAAGUGGUAAUAAAUGUAAUCCUUAUUCUCUUUUUUUCCUUAUUUCAUCUAAUAUCUUGUUUAUCUCUUAACUACCUCUCUUUCACUCCUUUAUUAUAUAAACAUGUUCUUCUUCUUCCUCGGGUUACUUCCACAUUUUUUUUCUCUUCCCUUUUCUCUUUCCAUAUCCAAACAUGUUUUAAUUAUCAUCUCAAAUCUCCUCUGCUCUUUUGUCCUCUCUACCUGCUUUUUUUUAUCUCUCUCCUUUUGUAUUUGUCUUUAUCCUGUCUUUUAGUCUCUUGUGUGCUGUUGUUGUUUAUUCUAAUUUUUUUCUCUAUCAUGUUUCUGAUGGUUUUCAUCCUUUCUGCACUAUGGCUCUCUUUCUUUUGUUUCACCUUCCUCUUGUUGUAUCCAUGCAGGAUGCUGGAGGGGUUCUGUAUGCCCAAUUAAAUAUGCCACCAAGUAACGAUGAAAAAUUAAAGAGAAAAACCCAACUUGAGAAGGAACCCCAAGUCCUCUAUGCUGCUGUUAAAACACCUCAAUCAGACAAUACAUAUGCUACGGUUAAUAAAAUAUGAGAUUAUUAUUAUUAUUAUUAUUAGUAGUACUAGUAAUAGGAUAAUUUAUGUGGUGAUAUUGUCAAAUAUAAAAUGUCCUGAGACAUGGUCAGGUUCUUUCUCUCCAGUUAGAGACACAUCUACAUGUUUUAAUUUUUAUUUUAUUCAACUAUUGGGAAAGUCUUGAGAAUAUCUGGGAAAUGUCUCAAAAACAUAAAUGUUAUCCACUUUAGUAGCUCUAGUCAGCCAGGUGGAACCAGAAUGUAUUUUCUUCUAAAUUGAAAACUGUGAGAUAAGGUCUGUUCUUCACUAAAAGACCACUUAUUAGUGGGGGUUCUAUAGGGAGGUAUGAAUGUGUAUGCUAUUGUGACAGAACCAACUGCCUGUGAAAUACUUUUAUUGUUCCCUCAUUCGUCUGUUUCUUCGGCUAUUUCCCUGUCCAUUCAGCCCCAAACGCUUGUUUCUUUUAUACCGAACAAUUCACCGAACGGCCGGCCACCCAGCAUGGAAGUGUGCUGCUGGUUAACCUUUUGGCCUCAUUAGAACAUUGUGGUUAACCGCAGACACUUCCUAAUUGUCAAACGCCGACCACGAGGUGGCGGCCAUCUUGGACAUACGAAUGCCGGUCCUUUCGGUAGUUUCUUUUCACGAAUAGACUUAUCCCAGAUUGCUGUACCAUGGAGCCCAUUCGUAUAACUAAAGACUAUGUGAAAGACUUUGGCUCCAUGGCGAUUGAACAGUGUGGGUAUAGGAUCUGAGCGCCAUUCGGUAAUAAUGUGCCCUCAGAUCCAAGCUAUCUGGGGAUGUGUUGAACGUAUCUAUUGCGUUCGGUAGUUUUUGUAUUAUGUAUUUUUAUGUAGUUUCAUUACUCUGUAUAAAAUGGAGUUUAGCCUCUGUCUUCGGAGGAUUUAUUCAUAUGGUGAUUCUCGUUCGGAUGUUUGGAGAGUGUAUGAUUCGUAUGGUUCCUGUUCGGCUGAUUGUUGUGAUCGGUAGUUGCCUUCAUAUUCGGGAAAGGAGCAUUUUACACGGUUUUAACCCUUUUUAUCCCAGGGGUAUCGUAACAACUAUCACUCCCAGUAUCAUGUGUGGCAUUGGGCUGGUACAACACUAGGUUUGAUCAUCUCUGGAGGGAGUAAAUGUAGAGCUGGGUUGCAUGCUAAUUAACCUAGGUGUCUGCCUAGGACCUGGCUUGUGAUGUUAAGCAUGUGUUUAAGCAAAGGGAGAUCAAAUGCAGCAAUUUCCUUCAUCUCCUUCUUAACUUGUGGUAAGGUAUUCCAAAAGAAGUAAAGAGAGACAGUGGGCUUUUGUGAAGGUCCUUAGGGCACAUAUUGCUAAUUUUAGCAUCUUUAUGCAUUGCUAUUGUUUUUAUAUUCCACCCUUUUAUAAUCAUGUUUGUAAUCUAUAUACCUUAUAAAUAGGAAAGUAAAACAGCAAACCAACACCUUAGUGCUGGUAUAUGACCACUUCUGAACAUGUUUAGAUCUUCUAUAUAAAAAGUAAUACACAUAAACAGAUUAUCAUCCUAAUAAUUUCAGGCAAGAUAUAUAUCACCCAUCUAUUCUUAAAGAAUAUAAUAUGAAAGGCUGCGUAGGAUGUAGUCAAUACACAGUGAUGUCUGGAUUGUAGGUGGGGUUUCCAGGGGACAUACGUCUCCCUUGUGCUGUAGGGAAUUAUAUGUAAAGACUAGCGAUAAGGCUCCAUUGGAAUCAAUAAGAGGUGGAUACAUGUUAAAUGAAGAAUAAUUCUACUAAAACUAGCUUUGUAACAGGAACAAAGUUAUAUUAUUUCCCUUGAUGAUCAUUAAACUCCUUCGAACCACGCUAUACAAAUUACAAGGCUUUUACAGAAUGUUAGCACUUUAGAAAUGCCAGUAAUAAAUAAAAUACUAGACUUUAAUGGAAAAGAGCACUAAGCACAAGUGAGCCUUUCUGGGUGUAAAUGUGAGUUUAACUGUCCUGCAUGUGAGCUCGAUAGGAUAAUAAUGAAAUUGAAUGAUCUAUGUUUGUUUGUAUGUACAUUUUGGGGGCUAUAUUGAUAUGUUGAGUUAUACAAUGUUUCUUUUUCUGUACUGUUCAAUUCAUACCUAUCUGACCAGCAAUAUACAGUAUUCAAAUAAAAUAUUUGGACCAUAAUUUAUUUGAUGUUUUUCUUACCCCAUCCCUUGAACCAUUGGGGGUUAAAAUGUGAAACCUUAUUAUCCAAAG
rnacentral:lncRNA from 1 species